rnacentral:rRNA from 1 species
CAGAGGUGGCAAGCGUUGUUCGGAUUUAUGGGCGUAAAGGGUCCGUAGGCGGCCCAGCAAGUCGGAUGUGAAAUCCCACAGCUCAACUGUGGAACUGCAUUCGAAACUGCUAGGCUAGAGUAUGGAAGGGGUGAAGGGAAUUCCCGGUGUAAGGGUGAAAUCUGCAGAGAUCGGGAGGAAUACCUGUCGCGAAGGCGCUUCACUGGUCCACUACUGACGCUCAGGGACGAAAGCUAGGGUAGCAAACGGGAUUAGAUACCCCGGUAGUCCUAGCCGUAAACUAUGGUCACUAGGUGUUGGGGGGGUUAAACCCUUCAGUGCCGACGCUCACGCAUUAAGUGACCCGCCUGGGGAGUACGGUCGCAAGGCUG